GACGAACGCUGGCGGCGUGCUUAACACAUGCAAGUCGAACGGAAAGGCCCUGCUUUUGUGGGGUGCUCGAGUGGCGAACGGGUGAGUAACACGUGAGUAACCUGCCCUUGACUUUGGGAUAACUUCAGGAAACUGGGGCUAAUACCGGAUAGGAGCUCCUGCUGCAUGGUGGGGGUUGGAAAGUUUCGGCGGUUGGGGAUGGACUCGCGGCUUAUCAGCUUGUUGGUGGGGGAGUGGCUUACCAAGGCAUUGACGGGUAGCCGGCCUGAGAGGGUGACCGGCCACAUUGGGACUGAGAUACGGCCCAGACUCCUACGGGAGGCAGCAGUGGGGAAUAUUGCACAAUGGGCGGAAGCCUGAUGCAGCAACGCCGCGUGCGGGAUGACGGCCUUCGGGUUGUAAACCGCUUUCGCCUGUGACGAAGCGUGAGUGACGGUAAUGGGUAAAGAAGCACCGGCUAACUACGUG
rnacentral:rRNA from 1 species